AAAACAAAAAGUUUUAUUAAAGCAGUGGUUCUUAACCUGGGUUCGAUCGAACCCUAGUGGUUCGGUGAGUCGGUCUCAGGGGUUCGGUGGAGCCUCCGCCGCA